UACGGAGGGGACUAGCGUUGCUCGGAAUCACUGGGCGUAAAGCGCACGUAGGCGGAUUGCUAAGUCAGGGGUGAAAUCCUGGAGCUCAACUCCAGAACUGCCUUUGAUACUGGCGAUCUUGAGUCCGGGAGAGGUGAGUGGAACUGCGAGUGUAGAGGUGAAAUUCGUAGAUAUUCGCAAGAACACCAGUGGCGAAGGCGGCUCACUGGCCCGGUACUGACGCUGAGGUGCGAAAGCGUGGGGAGCAAACAGG
rnacentral:rRNA from 1 species